rnacentral:rRNA from 1 species
AUUGAACGCUGGCGGCAUGCUUUACACAUGCAAGUCGAACGGUAACAGGCCGCAAGGUGCUGACGAGUGGCGAACGGGUGAGUAAUGCAUCGGAACGUGCCCAGUCGUGGGGGAUAACUACUCGAAAGAGUAGCUAAUACCGCAUACGGUCUAUGGAUGAAAGCGGGGGACCGUAAGGCCUCGCGCGAUUGGAGCGGCCGAUGUCAGAUUAGGUAGUUGGUGGGGUAAAGGCUCACCAAGCCAACGAUCUGUAGCUGGUCUGAGAGGACGACCAGCCACACUGGGACUGAGACACGGCCCAGACUCCUACGGGAGGCAGCAGUGGGGAAUUUUGGACAAUGGGCGCAAGCCUGAUCCAGCAAUGCCGCGUGCAGGAAGAAGGCCUUCGGGUUGUAAACUGCUUUUGUACGGAACGAAACGGCUCUGGUUAAUACCCGGGGCUAAUGACGGUACCGUAAGAAUAAGCACCGGCUAACUACGUG